rnacentral:rRNA from 1 species
UUGAUAACUUGACCUCAAAUCAGGUAGGACUACCCGCUGAACUAU